rnacentral:rRNA from 1 species
AGUGAACGCUGGCGGUAGGCCUAACACAUGCAAGUCGAACGGCAGCACAGUAAGAGCUUGCUCUUACGGGUGGCGAGUGGCGGACGGGUGAGGAAUACAUCGGAAUCUACUUUUUCGUGGGGGAUAACGUAGGGAAACUUACGCUAAUACCGCAUACGACCUACGGGUGAAAGCAGGGGAUCUUCGGACCUUGCGCGAUUGUAUGAGCCGAUGUCGGAUUAGCUAGUUGGCGGGGUAAGGCCCACCAAGGCGACGAUCCGUAGCUGGUCUGAGAGGAUGAUCAGCCACACUGGAACUGAGACACGGUCCAGACUCCUACGGGAGGCAGCAGUGGGGAAUAUUGGACAAUGGGCGCAAGCCUGAUCCAGCCAUACCGCGUGGGUGAAGAAGGCCUUCGGGUUGUAAAGCCCUUUUGUUGGGAAAGAAAAGCAGCAGGUUAAUACCCCGCUGUUCUGACGGUACCCAAAGAAUAAGCACCGGCUAACUUCGUG